rnacentral:snRNA from 1 species
UAACUGUGAUCAUGCUGUGACCCCAUUGAUGGUCAGGGCUCAUUUGGCUGAUCUGGAUCUCGAGGGUGGUGUCUCCCUCCUCCCUCACCACUCCAUCUGAAUUCCUCCUGAAGCAAUGUGUUCACGCUUGGCCAAGGACGACAACCGAUUGGGUAUAGGAAUAGCUGUGCGCCCCUGCUAGAACCUCUUAAGCUCUCAGUGCAUCAAUUUCCCGGUUUCCCCUGAACACGCCAGAGGCACUGCUUCAGCUGAUAGUUUUCUUUCU